CGCUUUCGAUAGGCUUAACACAUGCAAGUCGAGGGGCAGCAUGAUCUUAGCUUGCUAAGGUUGAUGGCGACCGGCGCACGGGUGCGUAACGCGUAUGCAACUUGCCUUACAGAGGGGGAUAACCCGUUGAAAGACGGACUAAAACCGCAUACACUUGUAUUAUUGCAUGAUAUUACAAGGAAAUAUUUAUAGCUGUAAGAUAGGCAUGCGUCCCAUUAGCUGGUUGGUGAGGUAACGGCUCACCAAGGCGACGAUGGGUAGGGGAACUGAGAGGUUUAUCCCCCACACUGGUACUGAGACACGGACCAGACUCCUACGGGAGGCAGCAGUGAGGAAUAUUGGUCAAUGGGCGAUAGCCUGAACCAGCCAAGUCGCGUGAAGGAAGACAGUCCUAAGGAUUGUAAACUUCUUUUAUACGGGAAUAACGGGCGAUACGAGUAUUGCAUUGAAUGUACCGUAAGAAUAAGCAUCGGCUAACUCCGUGCCAGCAGCCGCGGUAAUACGGAGGAUGCGAGCGUUAUCCGGAUUUAUUGGGUUUAAAGGGUGCGUAGGUUGUUCGGUAAGUCAGCGGUGAAACCUGAGCGCUCAACGUUCAGCCUGCCGUUGAAACUGCCGGGCUUGAGUUCAGUGGCGGCAGGCGGAAUUCGUGGUGUAGCGGUGAAAUGCAUAGAUAUCACGAGGAACUCCGAUUGCGAAGGCAGCUUGCCAUACUGCGACUGACACUGAAGCACGAAGGCGUGGGUAUCAAACAGGAUUAGAUACCCUGGUAGUCCACGCAGUAAACGAUGAUUACUAGGAGUUUGCGAUAUACCGUCAAGCUUCCACAGCGAAAGCGUUAAGUAAUCCACCUGGGGAGUACGCCGGCAACGGUGAAACUCAAAGGAAUUGACGGGGGCCCGCACAAG
rnacentral:rRNA from 1 species